rnacentral:rRNA from 1 species
GACGAACGCUGGCGGCGUGCUUAACACAUGCAAGUCGAACGGAAAGGCCCUGCUUUUGUGGGGUGCUCGAGUGGCGAACGGGUGAGUAACACGUGAGUAACCUGCCCUUGACUUUGGGAUAACUUCAGGAAACUGGGGCUAAUACCGGAUAGGAGCUCCUGCUGCAUGGUGGGGGUUGGAAAGUUUCGGCGGUUGGGGAUGGACUCGCGGCUUAUCAGCUUGUUGGUGGGGUAGUGGCUUACCAAGGCUUUGACGGGUAGCCGGCCUGAGAGGGUGACCGGGCACAUUGGGACUGAGAUACGGCCCAGACUCCUACGGGAGGCAGCAGUGGGGAAUAUUGCACAAUGGGCGGAAGCCUGAUGCAGCAACGCCGCGUGCGGGAUGACGGCCUUCGGGUUGUAAACCGCUUCCGCCUGUGACGAAGCGUGAGUGGCGGUAAUGGGUAAAGAAGCACCGGCUAACUACGUG